UGGCGGACGGGUGAGUAACGCGUGGGAACCUGCCCGGCAGUACGGGACAACCGCGGGAAACUGCGGCUGAUACCGUAUACGGCCUGAGGGCGAAAGAAUUUCGCUGUCGGAGGGGCCCGCGUCGGAUUAGGUAGUUGGUGGGGUAACGGCCUACCAAGCCUGCGAUCCGUAGCUGGUCUGAGAGGAUGAUCAGCCACACUGGGACUGAGACACGGCCCAGACUCCUACGGGAGGCAGCAGUGGGGAAUAUUGGACAAUGGGCGCAAGCCUGAUCCAGCAAUGCCGCGUGAGUGAUGAAGGCCUUAGGGUUGUAAAGCUCUUUCAGCGGGGAAGAUAAUGACGGUACCCGCAGAAGAAGCCCCGGCUAACUUCGUGCCAGCAGCCGCGGUAAU
rnacentral:rRNA from 1 species